rnacentral:rRNA from 1 species
UUCCGGUUGAUCCCGCCGGACCCGACUGCUAUUUGGGUGAGGAUAAGCCAUGCGAGUCGAAUGGGAUACCUAAAAUUCCCAUGGCAGACUGCUCAGUAACACAUGAUCAACUUACCCUACGGAGAAAAAUAACCUCGGGAAACUGAGGAUAAUGAUUCAUAGUUGAAAAGGCUUGGAAAAGUUUUUCAAUGAAAUGGAUAAGAAAAAUGGUUCUUAUUUGCCAUAGGAUAGGAUCGUGCUCGAUUAUGGUUGUUGGUGAGGUAAAGGCUCACCAAGCCGAUAAUCGAUGGGGGCCGUGAGAGCGGGAGCCCCGAGAUGGGUACUGAGACAGCGACCCAGGCCUUACGAGGCGCAGCAGGUACGAAACCUCCGCAAUACACGAAAGUGUGACGGGGUUACCCAAAGUGUUCUUAUAGAACUGUGGCAGGUGAGUAAUGUCCCCUGCUAGAAAGGAGAGGGCAAGGCUGGUGCCAGCCGCCGCGGUAAAACCAGCUCUUCAAGUGGUCGGGAUAAUUAUUGGGCUUAAAGUGUCCGUAGCCGGUUUAGUAAGUUCCUGUAAAAUCAGGUAGCUUAACUAUCUGCAUGCUAGGAAUACUGCUAUACUAGAGGGCGGGAGAGGUCUGAGGUACUACAGGGGUAGGGGUGAAAUCUUAUAAUCCUUGUAGGACCACCAGUGGCGAAGGCGUCAGACUGGAACGCGCCUGACGGUGAGGGACGAAAGCCAGGGGAGCGAACCGGAUUAGAUACCCGGGUAGUCCUGGCCGUAAACGAUGCAUACUANGUGAUGAUACGGCCAUGAGCCGUGUCAGUGCCGUAGGGAAACCGUUAAGUGUGCCGCCUGGGAAGUACGGUCGCAAGGCUAAAACUUAAAGGAAUUGGCGGGGGAGCACCACAAGGGGUGAAGCCUGCGGUUCAAUUGGAUUCAACGCCGGA